rnacentral:rRNA from 2 species
GGCCUACCAUGGUGGUAACGGGUAACGGGGUGUUAGGGCACGACACCGGAGAGGGAGCCUGAGAAACGGCUACCACAUCCAAGGAUGGCAGCAGGCGCGCAAAUUACCCAAUCCCGACACGGGGAGGUAGUGACAAUAAAUAACAAUACGGGGUUCUUUCGGAUCUCGUAAUUGGAAUGAGUACAAUUUAAAUCUCUUAACGAGGAACAAUUGGAGGGCAAGUCUGGUGCCAGCAGCCGCGGUAAUUCCAGCUCCAAUAGCGUAUAUUAAAGUUGUUGCAGUUAAAAAGCUCGUAGUUGAAUUUCGGGGUUAGUAGGUUGGUCAUGCCUCUGGUAUGUACUGGUCUCACUGAUUCCUCCUUCCUGAUGAACCGUAAUGCCAUUAAUUUGGUGUUGCGGGGAAUUUGGACUGUUACUUUGAAAAAAUUAGAGUGUUUAAAGCAAGCUAACGCUUGAAUACAUUAGCAUGGAAUAAUGAAAUAGGACGUUCGAUCCUAUUUUGUUGGUUUCUAGGAUUGACGUAAUGAUUAAUAGGGAUAGUUGGGGGCAUUAGUAUUCAAUUGUCAGAGGUGAAAUUCUUGGAUUUAUUGAAGACUAACUACUGCGAAAGCAUUUGCCAAGGAUGUUUUCAUUAAUCAAGAACGAAAGUUAGGGGAUCGAAGACGAUCAGAUACCGUCGUAGUCUUAACCAUAAACUAUGCCGACUAGGGAUCGGAUGAUGUUAAUUUUUUAAUGACUCAUUCGGCGCCUUACG